AGUGAACGCUGGCGGUAGGCCUAACACAUGCAAGUCGAACGGCAGCACAGUAAGAGCUUGCUCUUACGGGUGGCGAGUGGCGGACGGGUGAGGAAUACAUCGGAAUCUACUUUUUCGUGGGUGAUAACGUAGGGAAACUUACGCUAAUACCGCAUACGACCUACGGGUGAAAGCAGGGGAUCUUCGGACCUUGCGCGAUUGAAUGAGCCGAUGUCGGAUUAGCUAGUUGGCGGGGUAAAGGCCCACCAAGGCGACGAUCCGUAGCUGGUCUGAGAGGAUGAUCAGCCACACUGGAACUGGAACCCGGCCCAGACCCCUACGGGAGGCAGCAGUGGGGAAUAUUGGACAAGGGGGGAAAGCCUGAUCCAGCCAUACCGGGGGGGUGAAGAAGGCCUUCGGGUUGUAAAGCCUUUUUGUGGGGAAAAAAAAGCAGCAGGUUAAUACCCCGCUGUUCUGGCGGUACCAAAAGAAUAAGCACCGGCUAACUUCGU
rnacentral:rRNA from 1 species